rnacentral:tRNA from 1 species
AUAGAUAUAAGUUAAUUUGGUAAACUGAAUGUUUUCCACACAUUGAAUGUGAGUUCAAGUCUCACUAUCUAUA